CGCCUGGGGAGUACGGCCGCAAGGCUAAAACUCAAAGGAAUUGACGGGGGCCCGCACAAGCGGCGGAGCAUGCGGAUUAAUUCGAUGCAACGCGAAGAACCUUACCAAGGCUUGACAUAACCGGAUCGUUCCAGAGAUGGUUCUUCCCUUUGGGCUGGUGUACAGGUGGUGCAUGGUUGUCGUCAGCUCGAGUCGUGAGAUGUUGGGUUAAGUCCCGCAACGAGCGCAACCCUCGUUCUAUGUUGCCAGCACGUGAUGUGGGACUCAUAGAGACUGCCGGGGUCACUCGGAGAAGUGGGAUGAC
rnacentral:rRNA from 1 species